UGAAAUGUGGACACCAGAACUAGACACUGCAUUCAAGUAUCUGUCUCAACAACAAGGCUUUUGCAACUAUAAUUCUUGGAGAUACUAGAAGAUGAGUGAACAAUUCCCUAUGGCACUUAUGUUGCAGAGUUCUCAGGAAGGUUCGUCGGGAAUAAUCUGAUAGUGGGUAUCCUGCUAUUUCCCUCUGCAUGUCUCAAAACUUCUUCCAAAAGAGUUUAAUUUUGGGACAUGUCCACCACAUGUAGUAGGAUUCAUACAACUGUUCACACUUCCUUCAACAUGUGCCUGCUCUUGUACCAUAAAUGUAUUUAAGUGGAGUGAGAUACAAAUCAAUAUAGGAUUUUAAAACAAUUUCCUUUUACUAUUGUGCAGAUGGGUGUGUGAAGACCAUUGUUCCAGAUGGUGUCCCAUUCCUCAGAAAUCAUUUCUGAUCCAAUGUCAUUAGCCUAUUUUGUCACAGCUAUAUGGAAGAAAAACCAGUUUAUUUAAAAUUGCUUUAUAGAAUACAUAAAAUAGGCCUCCGUUUCAUAGGUGUGAAAAAUAUUUUCUAAAAUUCUGUCAGAAUUCUACUGAGGUUUAUCUUUUGUGGGGAGUGUGUUGUAAAGUGUCUCGAUUGCAGGUAUUGGAAAAAUGAGAUUUUAAUGUCACCUGUGGUACAUUAUUUCAUCAAAAGCAAUAUAUAUUUCAAAAUCUAUAAUGCUAACAUGUUCCUAUAUAUUAAAGCCUCCUGAUAAAU